rnacentral:rRNA from 1 species
UAAGCGGAGGAAAAGAAACUAACAAGGAUUCCCCUAGUAACUGCGAGUGAAGCGGGAAAAGCUCAAAUUUAAAAUCUGGCGGUCUUAGGCCGUCCGAGUUGUAAUUUAGAGAAGCGUCUUCCGCGCCGGACCGUGCACAAGUCUCCUGGAAUGGAGCGUCAUAGAGGGUGAGAAUCCCGUCUUUGGCACGGAUGCCUAGUGCUUCUGUGAUGCGCUCUCGAAGAGUCGAGUUGUUUGGGAAUGCAGCUCAAAAUGGGUGGUGAACUCCAUCUAAAGCUAAAUAUUGGCGAGAGACCGAUAGCGAACAAGUACCGUGAGGGAAAGAUGAAAAGCACUUUGGAAAGAGAGUGAAACAGUACGUGAAAUUGUUGAAAGGGAAACGCUUGAAGUCAGUCGCGUCGACCGAGACUCAGCCUUGCCUCGGCUUGGUGUACUUCUCGGCCCGACGGGUCAGCGUCAAUUUUGCCCCUCGGAUAAUGGCAAGGGAAAGGUGGCACCUUUACGGAUGUGUUAUAGUCUCCUGUCGCAUGCGAGGGGUGGGAUUGAGGAACUCAGCGCGCACCUUGGUGUCGGGGCUUCGGCCCACGUCACGCGCUUAGGAUGCUGGCGUAAUGGCUUUAAACGACC